UCAGGCAGAAACCUCGUAAGUCCAUUUUGGUCUUUUUUUUUGUUGUCAUGAAAUAAUUCUAAUGGUCAUUUUUCAUGUUGGCCUGACAGUUUUACAAAUAUUUAACCAAUAAAAACUGUUGAAAACAGCUUAACUCCAUUUCCUAUU